ensembl:lncRNA
AUUUUGUCCUUGUAAAAUGAACUAGGAAGCGUUUUCUUUUUUUCUAGUUCCUAGACUAUAAGAAAAAUUGGGAGGAAGGUGUCUAAAAAGCUGUCCACAGUAGUCACAGAUGGGAGCAAUGAAAACAACUGGUAAGCUGACAGAAGAAAAUGCAAGGAGAUUGAUUUUCCAGAGAGGAUAAACACAAAAUAAAUGAUUCUGAGAUCUAAGCUGGAAGAAAAUAUGUAAAACCAAGGGCAGGACUACCAGGCAAGCAGACUAAAAGAAGAACUCAGAAACUCUCUUAUCAGUUAUAUUUACUAUUUGCCUUUACUUAUAGGUUACACUCAGUUCUUUACAACACUUGAACCUGAACCUCCAUCAGUCCCAUAGACCCCAGAUGAGCAAGGCAUAUUUUGGGAUCUGAGAGUCUCAGCUGUCUCCAGCCAAAAAGAAGAUGUAUAUCUGCAGCUUGAAAUUAUGAGUCUAUUUGAAAACAUCUAACAGUAAUGAGACCGAUUACCAGAGGGG